rnacentral:tmRNA from 1 species
UGCCUAACUAACCCUUAGGAACUAGCGACAUCCGUCCAUGACGUCUCCUAAUGGGGCACGGAUGCAAUGAGGAGACUGGCUCCCGAGCGCUGCUCGGCCGUAUCCGGGAGCGAGAUCACGUCGAGCUAGGGUGUGCUUGGGCCGUCUUUUCUCCUGGCCCACCCGAAAUCAAGCGAAGACUACACACGUAGACGCGUCCGAAGGACGCGAUUCGGACGCGGGUUCGAUUCCCGCCGCCUCCACCA